GAUGAACGCUGGCGGCGUGCCUAAUACAUGCAAGUCGAGCGAACAGACGAGGAGCUUGCUCCUCUGACGUUAGCGGCGGACGGGUGAGUAACACGUGGAUAACCUACCUAUAAGACUGGGAUAACUUCGGGAAACCGGAGCUAAUACCGGAUAAUAUAUUGAACCGCAUGGUUCAAUAGUGAAAGACGGUUUUGCUGUCACUUAUAGAUGGAUCCGCGCCGCAUUAGCUAGUUGGUAAGGCAACGGCUUACCAAGGCAACGAUGCGUAGCCGACCUGAGAGGGUGAUCGGCCACACUGGAACUGAGACACGGUCCAGACUCCUACGGGAGGCAGCAGUAGGGAAUCUGCCGCAAUGGGCGAAAGCCUGACGGAGCAACGCCGCGUGAGUGAUGAAGGUCUUCGGAUCGUAAAACUCUGUUAUGAGGGAAGAACAAAUGUGGAAGUAACUAUGCACGUCUUGACGGUACCUAAUCAGAAAGCCACGGCUAACUACGUG
rnacentral:rRNA from 1 species